rnacentral:rRNA from 1 species
AGUACGUGAAACUGCUUAGAGGUUAAGCCCGAUGAACCUGAAUAUCCAUUAUGGAAAAUUCAAUAUUAAGAAUAUAAUAUAAAUAAUAUUAUAAAAAUAGUAUGCAAUUUUUCCAUAUAAGGACAUUGUAAUCUGUUAAUGUUAUAAAUAUUUAUCAAAAGAUCUAAUACUUAAGUUUAUUUAAAUUGUUUAUUUUCGGAUAUUCAACAUAAAAUAAAUGUGUUAGAUUGGAUAAAUCAUUGACAGAUCGAAUUAUAUAUUGUGCAUAAAUUCUUCGGAAUUUUUCAGUAGUAAAUAGAUCUAUUGAUCUGUUUAUUGAUUGCAUGCAUAAUUAUGAUUGACAAUGCGAUAGAUUCAGGAUACCUUCGGGACCCGUCUUGAAACACGGACCAAGGAGUCUAACAUAUGUGCAAGUCAUUGGGUAUUUUUAAUAAAACCCAAUGGCAUAAUUAACUUAACUGUUAUUUAUAAUGAGAUUAAUUUAUAUUUUGUUAUGAUUUAUUUAUUCAAUCUCGGGGCGUUCUAUACAGUUAUGCAUAAUAAUAUUUAUAUUAUUUAUGCCUCUAACUAGAGCGUACCUUGAGC